AUUGAACGCUGGCGGCAGGCCUAACACAUGCAAGUCGAGCGGAAACGACACUAACAAUCCUUCGGGUGCGUUAAUGGGCGUCGAGCGGCGGACGGGUGAGUAAUGCCUAGGAAAUUGCCUUGAUGUGGGGGAUAACCAUUGGAAACGAUGGCUAAUACCGCAUGAUGCCUACGGGCCAAAGAGGGGGACCUUCGGGCCUCUCGCGUCAAGAUAUGCCUAGGUGGGAUUAGCUAGUUGGUGAGGUAAUGGCUCACCAAGGCGACGAUCCCUAGCUGGUCUGAGAGGAUGAUCAGCCACACUGGAACUGAGACACGGUCCAGACUCCUACGGGAGGCAGCAGUGGGGAAUAUUGCACAAUGGGCGCAAGCCUGAUGCAGCCAUGCCGCGUGUAUGAAGAAGGCCUUCGGGUUGUAAAGUACUUUCAGUUGUGAGGAAGGGGGUGUUGUUAAUAGCAACAUCUCUUGACGUUAGCAACAGAAGAAGCACCGGCUAACUCCGUGCCAGCAGCCGCGGUAAUACGGAGGGUGCGAGCGUUAAUCGGAAUUACUGGGCGUAAAGCGCAUGCAGGUGGUUCAUUAAGUCAGAUGUGAAAGCCCGGGGCUCAACCUCGGAACUGCAUUUGAAACUGGUGAACUAGAGUACUGUAGAGGGGGGUAGAAUUUCAGGUGUAGCGGUGAAAUGCGUAGAGAUCUGAAGGAAUACCAGUGGCGAAGGCGGCCCCCUGGA
rnacentral:rRNA from 1 species